rnacentral:lncRNA from 1 species
CAGAACACUUGUUGAAAAGCAUUGUCUUUACUGUCUUUUUUUCCAGAAGUACUUCUUUCAGAAUUAUCUAAUAUACUGAGCUAAUAAUAGAAUACUGCAAAAUCUUCUCUAAGUGCCUGAUACCUCAGUGGCCUAAUAAUUAACUUUCUGGGGACCGAGGCUUUGUUUUUAUCCAAGAAAAAUGUGUUCCGCCUAUCGACCAAUGAGCCCUGUUCUUGGCAGCACGUAUUUCCACAAGCAACAAUCUGCAGUGAUUAUGACAGAGCAAACUGCGAUACAAGAAAGCUAUCCAUAGAUGGCCAGAAAGAAGCUACCUGGAGCCUGGGAAUCCUGAUGUCCACUCCUCUAGUUAACCCUUUUCCUGAAUAUAGGAUUAUCCCAGCAGGAUUGAACCUCUUUUGUGAUAAGAUUCAAUUACCUGUAGUCCACCGUAAUGUUACAAUUUGAUAAAUCUCCUGGAAUUAAUCAAUUCUCUUGAAUGGAUAUCUUUGGAAGUAACUUGUAUGAGGCACGUGGAAAAACUUACACUUGCUUGAAGAAACAGAAAAUCAGAACUAUCAGAAUUGGGAGAUGCAACAGGACAGAAACAUCUGUAGGACAUCCAAGGUGCAGCUAUUGCAAUGCUCGUACAAAGGCAGAAGGGAAGAAGCAAGCAGUUUGCAUCUGGUGCAUUUGCCUGAGCACAACCUGAUCUGGGUCAUUUCUACAGACAUUAGUCAGGAGACAACAUAGUCCUGACCUAAAUGGGACUUCGCACGCCUGCAGAUGCCAAUGAGACCUAAAGCCCCUCUUCUCUCUCCCUGUUAAAUAUGUAAUUACUGUAUAGGACUUCUUUAUGUGUCACUGAUGCAUUUUGGAUGUAUUGGUAAAAAAGCUCAAGUCACGUAGGUGUAUUUAAAAAUAAAUAAAUACUAUCAAAUAUUGUACA